rnacentral:rRNA from 1 species
CCCCUAGACGUUCUGGGUUGCACGCGCGCUACAAUAAUACGCACAGCGAGUAUCACCGAGCUCGAAAGGGCAAGGUAAACAAUAGAAAAGGUACUGUAAUGGUUAUAGAUCCUUGUAAUUAUUGAUCUUCAACGAGGAAUUCCUAGUAAGUAUGUGUCAUCAUCACGCACUGAUUACGUCCCUGCCCUUUGUACACACCGCCCGUCGCUCCUACCGAUUGGGUGAGCCGAUGAAACUCUCGGAUGUAGGCUAUUCAUAGCCCGCAGAAGAGAUUUGAAUCGUAGCGCUUAGAGGAAGGAGAAGUCGUAACA